rnacentral:rRNA from 1 species
AUUGAACGCUGGCGGCAUGCUUUACACAUGCAAGUCGAACGGCCGCGCGGGCUUCGGCCUGGCGGCGAGUGGCGAACGGGUGAGUAAUGCAUCGGAACGUGCCCAGUAGUGGGGGAUAGCCCGGCGAAAGCCGGAUUAAUACCGCAUCCGACCUGAGGGUGAAAGCGGGGGACCGAAAGGCCUCGCGCUAUUUGAGCGGCCGAUGUCGGAUUAGCUAGUUGGUGGGGUAAAGGCUUACCAAGGCGACGAUCCGUAGCUGGUCUGAGAGGACGACCAGCCACACUGGAACUGAGACACGGCCCAGACUCCUACGGGAGGCAGCAGUGGGGAAUUUUGGACAAUGGGGGCAACCCUGAUCCAGCCAUGCCGCGUGCGGGAAGAAGGCCUUCGGGUCGUAAACCGCUUUUGUUCGGGAAGAAAUCCUCUGGGCUAAUACCCCGGGGGGAUGACGGUACCGGAAGAAUAAGCACCGGCUAACUACGUG